AUCCUUUUGUAGUUCAUGAGCAUGAUGAUUGGGUGUUCACUUGCUUGUGUGAGAUGUGCUACCCUUGAACCUUGUUACAACGUCGGCACAUGACCCAUCAUCUGACC
rnacentral:snoRNA from 1 species